AGUCGAGCGAGUCUGCCUUGAAGAUCGGAGUGCUUGCACUCUGUGAAACAAGAUACAGGCUGGCGGCGGACGGGUGAGUAACACGUGGGUAACCUGCCCAAGAGAUCGGGAUAACACCUGGAAACAGAUGCUAAUACCGGAUAACAACAGAUGAUGCCUAUCAACUGUUUAAAAGAUGGUUCUGCUAUCACUCUUGGAUGGACCUGCGGUGCAUUAGCUAGUUGGUAGGGUAACGGCCUACCAAGGCGAUGAUGCAUAGCCGAGUUGAGAGACUGAUCGGCCACAUUGGGACUGAGACACGGCCCAAACUCCUACGGGAGGCAGCAGUAGGGAAUCUUCCACAAUGGACGCAAGUCUGAUGGAGCAACGCCGCGUGAGUGAAGAAGGGUUUCGGCUCGUAAAGCUCUGUUGUUGGUGAAGAAGGACGGGGGUAGUAACUGACCUUUGUUUGACGGUAAUCAAUUAGGAAGUCACGGCUAACUACGUGCCAGCAGCCGCGGUAAUACGUAGGUGGCAAGCGUUGUCCGGAUUUAUUGGGCGUAAAGCGAGUGCAGGCGGUUCGAUAAGUCUGAUGUGAAAGCCUUCGGCUCAACCGGAGAAUUGCAUCAGAAACUGUCGAGCUUGAGUACAGAAGAGGAGAGUGGAACUCCAUGUGUAGCGGUGAAAUGCGUAGAUAUAUGGAAGAACACCGGUGGCGAAGGCGGCUCUCUGGUCUGUUACUGACGCUGAGGCUCGAAAGCAUGGGUAGCGAACAGGAUUAGAUACCCUGGUAGUCCAUGCCGUAAACGAUGAGUGCUAAGUGUUGGGAGGUUUCCGCCUCUCAGUGCUGCAGCUAACGCAUUAAGCACUCCGCC
rnacentral:rRNA from 1 species